UCGGUCAUAUGACAUGGAAACACCGGUUCUCGUACGACUGUCGAAGUUAAGCAACGUCGAGCCUGGUGAGUACCUAGAUGGGUGACCGCUCGGAAAUACCAGGUGCUGCAAG